UGGGCUUGAGUGUGGUAGGGGCAGAGGGAAUUCCCGGUGUAGCGGUGAAAUGCGUAGAUAUCGGGAAGAACACCAGUGGCGAAGGCGCUCUGCUGGGCCAUCACUGACGCUCAUGGACGAAAGCCAGGGGAGCGAAAGGGAUUAGAUACCCCUGUAGUCCUGGCCGUAAACGAUGAACACUAGGUGUCGGGGGAAUCGACCCCCUCGGUGUCGUAGCCAACGCGUUAAGUGUUCCGCCUGGGGAGUACGCACGCAAGUGUGAAACUCAAAGGAAUUGACGGGGGCCCGCACAAGCGGUGGAGUAUGUGGUUUAAUUCGAUGCAACGCGAAGAACCUUACCAGGGUUUGACAUCCUGCGAAUCUCUUGGAAACAGGAGAGUGCCUUCGGGAACGCAGUGACAGGUGGUGCAUGGCUGUCGUCAGCUCGUGUCGUGAGAUGUUGGGUUAAGUCCCGCAACGAGCGCAACCCACGUCUUUAGUUGCCAGCAUUUAGUUGGGCACUCUAGAGAGACUGCCGGUGAUAAACCGGAGGAAGGUGUGGAUGACGUCAAGUCAUCAUGCCCCUUACAUCCUGGGCUACACACGUACUACAAUGCUACGGACAAAGGGCUGCAAGUUCGCGAGGACAAGCAAAUCCCAUAAACCGUGGCUCAGUUCAGAUCGUAGGCUGCAACUCGCCUACGUGAAGGCGGAAUCGCUAGUAAUCGCAGGUCAGCAUACUGCGGUGAAUACGUUCCCGGGCCUUGUACACACCGCCCGUCACACCAUGGAAGUUGGCCACGCCCGAAGCCGUUACUCCAACCCUUGUGGAGGAGGACGUCGAAGGUGGGGCUGAUGACUGGGGUGAAGUCGUAACAAGGUAUCCGUACCGGAAGGUGCGGAU
rnacentral:rRNA from 1 species